CCUACGGGAGGCAGCAGUGGGGAAUUUUGCGCAAUGCUCGUAAGAGUGACGCAGCGACGCCGCGUGAAUGACGAAGGCCUUCGGGUCGUAAAGUUCUUUCGACAGGGAAGAAAAUGCAUAUAAGUAACUGUGUAUGUAUUGACGGUACCUGUAUAAGCAGCCCCGGCUAACUCCGUGCCAGCAGCCGCGUUAAUACGGAGGGGGCGGGCGUUGUUCGGAGGGACUGGGCGUAAAGAGCACGUAGGCGGUGUUGUAAGUCAUUAGUCAAAGACUAGAGCUCAACUUUAGUAAGGCUAGUGAUACUAUAAUACUAGAGUAUCAGAGAGGAUUGCAGAAUUCCUGGUGUAGCGGUGAAAUGCGUAGAUAUCAGGAGGAAUACCGUUAGCGAAGGCGGCAAUCUGGCUGGAAACUGACGCUGAGGUGCGAAAGCGUGGGUAGCAAACAGGAUUAGAUACCCCAGUAGUC
rnacentral:rRNA from 1 species